AGAUGUGAGGGUGAUCUGGCUGUGAUAUCUGUCACCCCAGUGAUCACCAGGGUUGAUUCAGCUGAUCUGACUUUCUAGGCAGGUGUCUUUUUCCUCCCUCACCUCUUCAUGUGGGUCCCACAGAAAACUGCACAGUGGGUGGAAGAGAAGGACCAUCCUCGAUAGAGGAGGACAGUUCUUUGGUCAAGGUGUGUGAAUAACUGCACUCCCCUGCUAGGACCUCCUAUUUUUUUCAUAUUGCUAAUGUAUUUGAUCAUCAUUUCAUUAUUGGUCUCUGUGACCUAAUACU
rnacentral:snRNA from 1 species